CUGCAGCCCGAGUGGUGGUCGAUAUUAUUGAGCCUAAAGCGUCCGUAGCCGGACCAGUAAAUUCUUGGGUAAAUCGGGCAGCUUAACUGUCCGACUUCCGAGGAGACUGCUGGUCUUGGGACUGGGAGAGGUCAGAGGUACUCCAGGGGUAGGGGCUAAAUCCUGUAAUCCUUGGGGGACCACCAGUGGCGAAGGCGUCUGACGAGAACGGAUCCGACGGUAAGGGACGAAACCCUGGGUCGCAAACCGGAUUAGAUACCCGAGUAGUCC
rnacentral:rRNA from 1 species